rnacentral:rRNA from 1 species
UGGGUAACCUGCCUCAAAGAGGGGAAUAGCCUCCCCGAAAGGGGAGAUUAAUACCGCAUAAUAUGUUUAAGUCGCAUGACUUUAACAUCAAAGGUAUUUUUCUUUUAAGAAAUUCCACUUUGAGAUGGACCCCGCGGUGCAUUAGCUAGUUGGUGAGGUAACGGCUCACCAAGGCAACGAUGCGUAGCCGACCUGAGAGGGUGAUCGGCCACAUUGGAACUGAGACACGGUCCAGACUCCGUAGGACG